rnacentral:tRNA from 1 species
GCCGAAGUGGUGGAAUUGGUAGACACAGGGGACUUAAAAUCCCCCGGCUGUAACGGCUGUACCGGUUCAAGUCCGGUCUUCGGUA